UACGUAGGGGGCGAGCGUUGUCCGGAAUUAUUGGGCGUAAAGAGCGUGUAGGCGGUACGGUAAGUCUGCCGUGAAAACCUGGGGCUCAACCCUGGGCGUGCGGUGGAUACUGCCGGGCUAGAGGGUGGUAGAGGCGAGUGGAAUUCCCGGUGUAGCGGUGAAAUGCGCAGAUAUCGGGAGGAACACCAGUAGCGAAGGCGGCUCGCUGGGCCAUUCCUGACGCUGAGACGCGAAAGCUAGGGGAGCGAACAGG
rnacentral:rRNA from 1 species